ensembl:miRNA
AGAAAGAAGGAAGCUGAAUUCAUUUAGAAAAGAGAAUUCCAAAUGAGCUUAAUUUCCUUUUUUCU